rnacentral:lncRNA from 1 species
UGUGAGGUAUGAUUUGCAAGGAUCACACUAGUCUUAUGUAAAGUGUGCAGGCUCUGCCACAUUGUGAAGUUUGAAUCGAACCUUUCACACUGGAUCUCUGCAGCCUGAAUCACAUCCAAUCAUUAGCUAAUGCCUGCCAAUUCCCUAUUAAGUGCAAUCUGACAUCAUUGCCCAUACAGUCAGCAGCAACCUCUUAAGUCAUCCCAAUACUUUCCAUCAGAUUCAUCAACAUCUUUGGGAAAAUAUCUUAAGCGAACAAUUCUUCUAGAAGACAAUGAAAAUAAGACAGAAAAGACAUAUCUAUCGACUAAAAAGUACAUUGAUUCUGAAGCACACUGAAGGUCUUUCCCCCUCCCAUACUCCUCUUAUUUCCCCCCUUUAAACCAGUAUUUAUCAUGUAACUGUGGUUUUACAAGCCACGCCUCCUGAUCAUGUACACCCAGUCAUUUCUCCAGCGGAGGUUUAACCUUGGAGCUGACCUUCUUUCUCCCCUACUCUCAUGCCCUUGCUAAUGAUGAAGCAAAGCCAUAGUAGGCCCAAGGCCCUGGGAGGCCCCAGCUGUUCUCCAUUCCAACCACAUGGGGCUAAACCCUCCCCUUCCCACAGGAACAGUUUUUUAUUAGGCCCCAAACUUGGAGCCCUCAAUUUCUUACAAUGACCUUUUAUUCCUUGUUUACCCUCUUUCUUUGCAAACUUCAGUCCGACCCCAUGGGAGCCCAGUGGGAAGGCUCUGUGAGCUGGACAGAACUCAUUGCUUCCCAGCAGCUUUCAAGUUCUGUGCCCAACCUGAAUUCUUCAGGGUGAGCUUUCUGCAUCUGCAGCUCCAUCCUAGGACUGUCCCCUCCAGACAGUGCCAGUUUUUCUUUCAGUCCUGCUCUUGUUCCCUAGAGUAACCCCUACCCUACCUCCUGAUAGAGAGGAUGUAUGCAAAGUGCCUAGGAGCAUCUCUAAGUACAUGCUCAAACAGAAAGUUACAACAUUUUUCAUUGAGAGGAGUCUAAGCUGGGCACUGAUAUGUACUUGUAGUCCCAACUACUCAGGAUGCUAAGACAGGAGGAUCACGUGAGCCCAGGAGUUCGAGACCAGCCUGGGCAACAUGGCAAGGCUGAGGAAUAAAUUUUAAAAAUGAAAACAUUGAAUGUACCCAUCCCCAGAAGGAAAGGCAGAAGGACCUCAUGGACAGGGAAUAGCAGAAUCAUCUCUCCAGUCCCUUACUUUUUGUCUGAGUGUUAUGGUUUGAAUAUGAAGUGCCCCCCUCCCCAAAGCUCAUGUUAGGCAAUGUAGCAUGAGAUUAGAUGUACCUCUAGAUCAUUUCAGAGGGAAAUUAUUAGAUUAUGAGAGCUGUACUCUAAUCAGUGUAUUAACCCAUUUGUUGGAUUAAUAAUUCAAAGAGAUUAUUGUGUGGUAACCGUGUAGCAGGUACACUGUAGCUGCAGGAAGGUACAGUGUAGCUGGAGGAGGUCAGUCAGUGGGGGCGUGCCCUUGGAGAUUAUAUUUGUCCUGGCUCCCCUGACUCUCUCUCUCUCUCUCUCUCUCUCUCUCUCUCUCUCUCUCUCUCUCUCUGCUUCCUGGCUACCAUGAACUGACCAGCUUCCUUCAGCCCCUCCCUUCUGCUAUGAUGUUUUGGCCUCAUCUCAGGCCUAGAGCAAUGGAGUCUGCCGACAAUGGACUGAACCUCUGAAACCAUAAGUCAAAAUAAACUUUACCCCUCUAAGUUGUUCUUGUCAGCUAUUCUAGUCACAGUGAUUAAAAACUGGCCAACACACUGGUCAUGUUCCUUUGCAUAGGAUGAGACUAAGGCCUGGCCAAAGUUAUGUAAAUGUGGUGCCCAAUCCCUUACUCUCCGAGUAGACAUAGUUCACUUCUCAUGAAUUAAAUGCAGGCAUAAUGCCACCACCAAAUGUCUUUGUUGGAAUCUUCCCACUGUCAAAGUUGAGGAAACCCACUAAGGGUUUUGAUUUCCUAAGCAAAAUUUUCUCAACCUGCAGAGCCAAACUGUACUGUCUCCUUCACAAAACAUGAUUACCAACUACUUAAACCAAGAAAGGCAUGGGAGUGUAGCUCCGGUGACCACGCAGUCCCUGCUCAGGUCAGUUUCCUGCUCUUCCUACCAAACCUGUCAAAGCAAUUAAAUGUGUGAACCACACUACUUAUGCGUUUCCAGGGCUGUCUAAGUCACGGCCAUGCUAAGGGACUGAAACACAUCCCUUGAACACCACAGAAAAGGCAAACAGAAAUUCCCUUCUCCAAAGUCAAAACCAUCACCAACUCCAAAAGUGAGCCCAGGCCAGGUGUCCCACAGGGACGAACCCUUCAGGUGGGAAGCAGUGCCCAGGCCCCACUGACAAUUGCUGAUUGUGAUUUAUUAGUGGGGGGAAAUUUGGAAUUGGAAUUUUACCGUUGGGAUUUACUUGCAUUUGAAAGCAAUGCAGUUAGUAGCCCAUCUUUCAACACUGAAUGUAUUUUCUCCACUUUUAUAUCUUUCUGAUGAAUUAAGCACUUAUGUAAGGUGAGGGAUUGAGAACAUUAGCAGCUGAUUCUCUCAGUGGCUCUGCUUGCCAGAUAUGGCUGGAUAGAAAAGCGCAGGAACCGGUUUCACAUUGUUCUUCCACAAAAGUGGUUCCAAUGUGAACCAGGAUGGUUUCCCUAGUCCCACAAUGGAUGGGUAACUUGAAUUCCUUGCCCAGCAUAUCCCCAAGCCAUUUUGAACAAGCGUGCUAAUUGAAUCCAGUUGUUUGCCAUUUCAAAUAUUCCUUCUUUCCACAGAGCAAUAAUAUAGUAAAUUCAUUUCAUCUGUCAUCCAAGAAUUGGAGCAUGCAUUACCAGCUGACUUGUGUUCACCUUUAUCCCAGAUUUUUAAAAUAUGUUUACAAUGUAAUUAAAAACAAUCUGGUCAAAUUAUCUAUUUGAAUUGGUUGGUCUCUUUGGGGGGAGAUAAGGGAGGAGAUGAGGUGGCUACG